rnacentral:rRNA from 1 species
AACGAACGCUGGCGGCAUGCCUAACACAUGCAAGUCGAACGAGACCUUCGGGUCUAGUGGCGCACGGGUGCGUAACGCGUGGGAACCUGCCCUUAGGUUCGGAAUAACUCCCCGAAAGGGGUGCUAAUACCGGAUAAUGUCUUCGGACCAAAGAUUUAUCGCCUUUGGAUGGGCCCGCGUUGGAUUAGCUAGUUGGUAGGGUAAAAGCCUACCAAGGCGACGAUCCAUAGCUGGUCGGAGAGGAUGAUCAGCCACACUGGGACUGAGACCCGGCCCAGACUCCUACGGGAGGCAGCAGUGGGGAAUAUUGGACAAUGGGCGAAAGCCUGAUCCAGCAAUGCCGCGUGAGUGAUGAAGGCCUUAGGGUUGUAAAGCUCUUUUACCCGGGAUGAUAAUGACAGUACCGGGAGAAUAAGCUCCGGCUAACUCCGUG